CCCAUUAUUUGCCAUCCACAAGUUGGGCACUGUAAUGGGACCGCCGGUGGUAAGCCGGAGGAAGGUGGGGAUGACGUCAAGUCCUCAUGGCCCUUACAGGGUGGGCUACACACGUGCUACAAUGGCGACUACAGAGGGUUGCAACCCUGCGAAGGUGAGCUAAUCCCUAAAAGUCGUCUCAGUUCGGAUUGCACUCUGCAACUCGAGUGCAUGAAGUCGGAAUCGCUAGUAAUCGCGGAUCAGCAUGCCGCGGUGAAUACGUUCCCGGGCCUUGUACACACCGCCCGUCACACCAUCGGAGUUGGCUUUACCCGAAGGCGGUGCGCUAACCAGCAAUGGAGGCAGCCGACCACGGUAGGGUCAGCGACUGGGGUGAAGUCGUAACAAGGUAACCGU
rnacentral:rRNA from 1 species